rnacentral:rRNA from 1 species
GACAGCAGCCGCCGCGGUAAUACAGAGGGUGCGAGCGUUAAUCGGAUUUACUGGGCGUAAAGCGUGCGUAGGCGGCUUCUUAAGUCGGAUGUGAAAUCCCUGAGCUUAACUUAGGAAUUGCAUUCGAUACUGGGAAGCUAGAGUAUGGGAGAGGAUGGUAGAAUUCCAGGUGUAGCGGUGAAAUGCGUAGAGAUCUGGAGGAAUACCGAUGGCGAAGGCAGCCAUCUGGCCUAAUACUGACGAUGAGGUACGAAAGCAUGGGGAGCAAACAGGAUUAGAUACCCCAGUAGUCCCUGUCUCUUAUAC